GGUUAAGCGACUAAGCGUACACGGUGGAUGCCCUGGCAGUCAGAGGCGAUGAAGGACGUGCUAAUCUGCGAAAAGCGACGGCGAGGUGAUAUGAACCUUUGACCCGUCGAUGUCCGAAUGGGGAAACCCAGUGUGAUUCGUCACACUAUCGUUAACUGAAUACAUAGGUUAACGAGGCGAACCGGGGGAACUGAAACAUCUAAGUACCCCGAGGAAAAGAAAUCAACCGAGAUUCCCCCAGUAGCGGCGAGCGAACGGGGAGCAGCCCGGAGUCUGAAUCAGCUUGUGUGUUAGUGGAAGCGUCUGGAAAGUCGCACGGUACAGGGUGACAGUCCCGUACACGAAAAUGCACAGGUUGUGAACUCGAAGAGUAGGGCGGGACACGUGGUAUCCUGUCUGAAUAUGGGGGGACCAUCCUCCAAGGCUAAAUACUCCUGACUGACCGAUAGUGAACCAGUACCGUGAGGGAAAGGCGAAAAGAACCCCGGCGAGGGGAGUGAAAAAGAACCUGAAACCGUGUACGUACAAGCAGUGGGAGCACCUUCGGGUGUGACUGCGUACCUUUUGUAUAAUGGGUCAGCGACUUAUAUUCUGUAGCAAGGUUAACCGUAUAGGGGAGCCGCAGGGAAACCGAGUCUUAACUGGGCGUUAAGUUGCAGGGUAUAGACCCGAAACCCGGUGAUCUAGCCAUGGGCAGGUUGAAGGUUGGGUAACACUAACUGGAGGACCGAACCGACUAAUGUUGAAAAAUUAGCGGAUGACCUGUGGCUGGGGGUGAAAGGCCAAUCAAACCGGGAGAUAGCUGGUUCUCCCCGAAAGCUAUUUAGGUAGCGCCUCGUGAACUCAUCUUCGGGGGUAGAGCACUGUUUCGGCUAGGGGGCCAUCCCGGCUUACCAACCCGAUGCAAACUACGAAUACCGAAGAAUGUUAUCACGGGAGACACACGGCGGGUGCUAACGUCCGUCGUGAAGAGGGAAACAACCCAGACCGCCAGCUAAGGUCCCAAAGUCAUGGUUAAGUGGGAAACGAUGUGGGAAGGCACAGACAGCCAGGAUGUUGGCUUAGAAGCAGCCAUCAUUUAAAGAAAGCGUAAUAGCUCACUGGUCGAGUCGGCCUGCGCGGAAGAUGUAACGGGGCUAAACCAUGCACCGAAGCUGCGGCAGCGACGCUUAUGUGUUGUUGGGUAGGGGAGCGUUCUGUAAGCCGUUGAAGGUGUGCUGUGAGGCAUGCUGGAGGUAUCAGAAGUGCGAAUGCUGACAUAAGUAACGAUAAAGCGGGUGAAAAGCCCGCUCGCCGGAAGACCAAGGGUUCCUGUCCAACGUUAAUCGGGGCAGGGUGAGUCGACCCCUAAGGCGAGGCCGAAAGGCGUAGUCGAUGGGAAACAGGUUAAUAUUCCUGUACUUGGUGUUACUGCGAAGGGGGGACGGAGAAGGCUAUGUCAGCCGGGCGACGGUUGUCCCGGUUUAAGCGUGUAGGUGUGUGUUCCAGGCAAAUCCGGUUCACUUUAACACUGAGGCGUGAUGACGAGGCACUACGGUGCUGAAGUGAUAAAUGCCCUGCUUCCAGGAAAAGCCUCUAAGCAUCAGGUAACACGAAAUCGUACCCCAAACCGACACAGGUGGUCAGGUAGAGAAUACCAAGGCGCUUGAGAGAACUCGGGUGAAGGAACUAGGCAAAAUGGUGCCGUAACUUCGGGAGAAGGCACGCUGAUAUGUAGGUGAAG
rnacentral:rRNA from 1 species